UACGUAGGGGGCGAGCGUUGUCCGGAAUUAUUGGGCGUAAAGCGCGCGCAGGCGGUCCUUUAAGUCUGGUGUUUAAGAGCGGGGCUCAACCCUGCUACGCACUGGAAACUGGAGGACUUGAGUGCAGCAGAGGGAAGCGGAAUUCCAUGUGUAGCGGUGAAAUGCGUAGAGAUAUGGAGGAACACCAGUGGCGAAGGCGGCUUUCUGGGCUGUAACUGACGCUGAGGCGCGAAAGCGUGGGGAGCAAACA
rnacentral:rRNA from 1 species